rnacentral:rRNA from 1 species
CAUACGGGAGGCUGCAGUGGGGAAUAUUGGACAAUGGGCGAAAGCCUGAUCCAGCCAUGCCGCGUGUGUGAAGAAGGCCUUCGGGUUGUAAAGCACUUUCAGUGGGGAAGAAAGCCUUGGGGCUAAUACCCUCGAGGAAGGACAUCACCCACAGAAGAAGCACCGGCUAACUCCGUGCCAGCAGCCGCGGUAAUACGGAGGGUGCGAGCGUUAAUCGGAAUUACUGGGCGUAAAGCGCGCGUAGGCGGUCUGAUAAGCCGGUUGUGAAAGCCCCGGGCUCAACCUGGGAACGGCAUCCGGAACUGUCAGGCUAGAGUGCAGGAGAGGAAGGUAGAAUUCCCGGUGUAGCGGUGAAAUGCGUAGAGAUCGGGAGGAAUACCAGUGGCGAAGGCGGUCUUCUGGACUGACACUGACGCUGAGGUGCGAAAGCGUGGGUAGCAAACAGGAUUAGAUACCCUUGUAGUC